rnacentral:rRNA from 1 species
AGGACGAACGCUGGCGGCGUGCUUAACACAUGCAAGUCGAGCGGUAAGGCUCCUUCGGGAGUACACGAGCGGCGAACGGGUGAGUAACACGUGAGCAAUCUGCCCUUCACUUUGGGAUAACUUCCGGAAACGGAAGCUAAUACCGAAUACGACCAUUACAGACAUCUGUUGAUGGUGGAAAGUUCCGGCGGUGAAGGAUGAGCUCGCGGCCUAUCAGCUUGUUGGUGGGGUAAUGGCCCACCAAGGCGACGACGGGUAGCCGGCCUGAGAGGGUGACCGGCCACACUGGGGACUGAGACACGGCCCAGACUCCUACGGGAGGCAGCAGUGGGGGAAUAUUGGACAAUGGGCGAAAGCCUGAUCCAGCAACGCCGCGUGAGGGAUGACGGCCUUCGGGUUGUAAACCUCUUUCAGCAGGGACGAAGCGAAAGUGACGGUACCUGCAGAAGAAGCACCGGCCAACUACGUGCCAGCAGCCGC